GACGAACGCUGGCGGCGUGCCUAAUACAUGCAAGUUGAGCGAUGAAGAUUGGUGCUUGCACCAAUUUGAAGAGCAGCGAACGGGUGAGUAACGCGUGGGAAAUCUGCCUUUGAGCGGGGGACAACAUUUGGAAACGAAUGCUAAUACCGCAUAACAACUUUAAACAUAAGUUUUAAUUUUGAAAGAUGCAAUUGCAUCACUCAAAGAUGAUCCCGCGUUGUAUUAGCUAGUUGGUGAGGUAAAGGCUCACCAAGGCGAUGAUACAUAGCCGCCCUGAGAGGGUGAUCGGCCACAUUGGGACUGAGACACGGCCCAAACUCCUACGGGAGGCAGCAGUAGGGAAUCUUCGGCAAUGGACGAAAGUCUGACCGAGCAACGCCGAGUGAGGGAAGAAGGUUUUCGGAUCGUAAAACUCUGUUGGUAGAGAAGAACGUUGGUGAGAGUGGAAAGCUCAUCAAGUAACGGUAACUACCCAGAAAGGGACGGCUAACUACGUG
rnacentral:rRNA from 1 species